UGCUGUUGACAGGCAAGCACGUCUAGCGCGCAUGGUAAGGCACUCGCAUAGGCAAAGCAGCAUCGGUGGGCAGAUCCGUAGAUCAGGGCAGUACAGCAGAACGGUCCCCUGCAUAUCGCAGCUCUCCCACCGUUUCGUUCUUUCUGCUUCAAUUCGCCAGGGAUCUACAGGACAAUAAACAAUACAACAUCGGUCAUCUUGCAGCUCGAAGAACGUUGCACGAUUGGAAGGUGGUGUCCGUCUUUGUGUGCUUUUUGCUUUUCCCUUUUUUGCGUUUUCCUGAGGGAUUGCUAGACUGGGGUUUGGCUCAAUUUAUACCGAGACACAGAAGCUGCGGGGGAGAAAAAAAUAAAGGAGCGGAGCCAGGAAAAGAGAAAAGAAUAAACAUGUCCAGCCCGGCUGAAAUGUGAAAAUGCUGUCUGUUAAGGUUGUCAGUACCGCCGAGGGCUCGAUGAAUCAUCCUGGAAAAGCAAAAGAGGAAAUUCAGCAAAAUAUCAUCCGAGCAACAGCCGAAGGCGAGGACGGUGUCAGCCGCGCUGUGAAUCCAUCUCAACCCGAUGUCAACUGCCUGACUCACCAGGGAAGCAGAGUGGAGAACGGGAGUUGUCAGACCGACGUGCCCACUUCCCCUUGCCAGGGUGCCCACACCUUUUUUCAGGGCAACAGAGUGCACGCAGAGGAGGCUAUGCCAGGCAUCCGGAAGGCCCAACGCAGGGAACAGAGUGCCAACAGCACGCACAGCCAAUCAAGGGAUAUCAAGUGCAAUGGGAGGAAAGACUCUGGAGAAGCUCCCUGCAUCACCUUCCUUGACUCUCAAGCUAUGAAGAAGGACAUGAAACAAAAGAUCAGGACUUGUAGCCCCCUAACUUGCCUUGCACUUACUUCUGACGACUGUAAUUCUCUUGAUUCUGCAAUGGGUCCUGAUCUCAGCUGUCAAGAGAGGAAGAAUGACAAUGAAAAAAAAGACUUGCUUGCUCCAGAAGGGCAGAAUGGUGACGCAAAAGAAAAUAAUCCAUUACCUUACAGCCCACUGCAGCAUUGCAACAGGUCUGACCUGCCUUUACACUCCUCUGGGCAUGAUAGUGCCCAGGAAGAGGAUGCCGCUUCGCUUAGUUUGUUGGACAGACUCAACAGAAGUCAACAGGGCCUGGCAGAGGAGUUGUUGGAAGGGACUGAGGACAAUGAACAGACCUUAAAAAACUUAUCCAGCUCAAUGCUUCUGUCUCCUGACAGGGGUAAUAUUGACAACAUCCUGUCAUUAUUGCAGAGAAAAUGUGGCAAUGGUCGUAUCAAUCUGUGCCCAGUGGUCCAGCUUAUUGACAUCACAAAGGAUAAGGGUCGUCUCUCUGAAGAUCUGCAGUCCAGUGGGGUAAAACUAGAUUGUACUGACCUUGGAGAGGAAGGUUGCUGUGAAGAUAAUCAGCAAGGUGACAAAAUGGAGAUGCCUUCUGAGAUGUCUUCCAUGCACUAUAAUUUCUUCUCCUCACCCUCACUUGCCAAUGGCAUUCGUAGUCCAGAAGAGAAAAUCCUUAAGAAGCCAAGGAUUGGACCCAGGGGUCGACGGCGACAUAUUGCCCAGCAACGGGAACUGCAACAUAUGACCCCACAGCCAGAGGUGCAACAGCAAGAUUUGAUGCCAGACCCUAUACAGCAGGCUUCACAAAAAGAGGAGCUAGAGACUCAGCCUGAAGUUGCACCAGCUUUACUGGUCUCACAAGAGGAAAUCGUAACCCUCGAUGUGACAGAGGAGCAGCCUCUCACAAUGCCCCAGGAAAUUAUUGCUCCUCUUGAGCCUGUAGAACCAAUGGAAGAAAUUCCAGUUCAUUCCCCAAUGACUGCAAACCCCAUUAUAUUAGAAUGCCAACCUAUUGAUAUAAUCCCCACUAGCAUGCCAAUGACAAAUGUUAAUGCUACCAUAGUGCAUGCAAGCACACCUGAAGUGAAAGAAAACACUUUGGUUAGUCAGCUGCAGCAGCAGAUAAGUGAGAAGGACAAUUCAUCAAUGACGCAGACCCCAGAAACAGAAAGAAAAUAUUCAUUACGGAGUUUGCACAGGCCAAGGAUACAAUGCCAUCUUAGGAAAUCAUCCCGAUUGAGACGAUCUUUGGCAGGAUGCACUAAAGAAAGGAAGAACAGAAUGCCUGCCCCAUCAGUUGAUGUACCUUUGCAGAUAAUAGAGGAACCUCUACAAUUACUGGAUGAUGAUUGUGAGAAGGCACAAGGAGACUUCAGGCAAGGGAGUAAUGAUCAGGAUGGCAUAAUAGAACUGAAGAGCUAUGACACCGAACAAGAGGGCAGCGAGGUUCCCAUUGAGAGUCUCAUCGAGCUUGAGGCAGAACCAUUGGAGGAAACAGACAUGACACGAGGCAAGAAGAGAGGAAGGUGUGUCGGUGUUCGUAAGAUCGUUGUCAAAGUGGCACGAAUUCCUGUAAAUAUGGGCCGGAGAAGCAAGAGCUACAAAAUCUCAUCAGUGGAGAACCCAGCGGUGUUGGACACAAUGACAGGGAUAGAGGGAAAAGAGGCCAAUAAAGGACCACCUCGAGAGCCAGCUGCAUUACUGAAGAUGAAAAAUAAUGGCAAGAAUGUGAUGGUCAUGUUUCCGCCAGGGGAGCUGCCCGUCAUCUUGAAAAGAAGGCGGGGAAGGCCACCAAAACAAGUACCUCCAGGUCAACCUGACCCCAGAUUAAUAAAGGCCAAUGAGGUGAAAAAGCCACGCCGGCGCAGAAGAGUGAAAUUGGCUUCUCCACAGCCCUCCUAUGUGGCAGACACCAAUGAUGCAAAAACAGAUUACGGUGACGUUCUUUCUAAGUUAGCCUUCCUCAAUCGUCAGCCCCCUACCACUGGCCGUUGUUCGCCUCCUCGAUGCUGGACUCCCACUGAACCUAAAAACACUCUGCAGUCCCCUGAUACUCCAAAUAUCGCAAUCCUUAUUCAGCGACUGCAAGGAUUCCGCCGGAGAGGUGGAAGGGCAGGGUGCAUGGGUGGAAGAGGAGGACUGGCGAAUGCAAAUGAAUCUUUCAAACGAUCAUUCAGUGACUUCUUUGAGACAAUUGGAAAGAAAAGAAAAUCCCCGCCAUCAGACUCACAUUUUCCACGGAAGCGUGGCAGAGCAGCGUCAGUACACUCUUACACUGCACCAUCGGCCGAGAAAGUGAUUAGGAAGAGACGCCCCCGAAAGAAUGGCAUUCUAAAGGGAGCGCAGCAAGGUAUGAAUCAAGAUUCUGACUGGAGCAAGGGUAGCAGCUGGCCCACAAAAUCAGAAGGAAGACAGAACCAAGCAGAAAAGAGUUAUGGAUACCAAAACCUGACAUCUUCUCGCAGUUUUGUAGCCUGUGAUGCUGCCAAAGGGGGCUUCUACUCCAGUCAGACCCAGGGGAACCAAGAAUCCCAAGGGUUGUUUACUGGGUAUUUUCGUUCACUCCUUGAUUCUGAUGACUCUUCUGACCUAAUAGAUUUCUCCAUGUCUUCACAGUCAUCAAGAGCCGAAUCUCAUAAACUUCCUGGUUGUUUCGAAACAGCCAAUGCAGCUCAGUGCCAACGGUGGUCUCCUGUUUACCAAAAGCGGUGUCCCAAAGCAAGCCCAAACAGUUCUGAGUCUGUCUCUCAGGCAUCAAAUCUCUCCAGAUCUGCGUAUCCCCAGGGUGGAACCGGAACUGGGACUGGAACCACAACUGGAACAUAUAGCCUUUCUCAGACUUCUCCUACAUCCUUCCAAAAAAUGGUCCCCCCACUGUCUCUGUCCAGGUCUCCAAGUUCACCACACCCAGCUGGAAGUUUUUCCCACUAUCCUGGCUUUGGGUCUGGAUCACAGUCAAUGAGUAGUACUUCUAAUGCCUCUUUACCAACAAUGAAACAGUUUGAAGGACAGCGUAACCCAGACUGUAGUUUCCCUUAUGGUACUGGCAGCAGCAAACCACUGCAGGUGUCUCCAGGAAGCAGUUCAAGCACAUGCUUUGCAGGCCUCCAAGGCACAAAUCCAUUAGGUAAAUGCAUAUAUAGUAGUGGUCACUUUCAAGGCAUUGCGCAUACGCCCUCAUUGCAAGGGGAAAAUCACGGUAGAACUGCAUCUCCUGGGAAUUUUAUGCACACAAAAAACACCAAUGAGUCCUUUCCCUCUUCCCCGGAAAGCUGUCGGCAGUAUUCCUCAACUGCCCAGUGGGGCUACCGACCCAGCUAUCCAGGGAGUGGCGGAGUCUGGAAUACCGAUUCUUUCAGGCCACAUUUUCCUGGUUCCUUUGACUAUGGCACCUAUAAUGAACCUAAAGAUAUCUUGGACAUUUCCAAUUACACCCCUCAAAAAGUGAAGCAGCGUUCCUUCUCAGAAACCUUCUCAGAGUCCUCAUCUGAUAGCUCUCACUUCGGGCAGCAAGCACCAGUUGCGUCAACAGGAAGUUCUUACAAGCAGCAUGACCCACCCCCACCCCCACCUGCUUCUGCGGAAAGCCAAUCCAGCCUCUCCAGUUUGGAAAAACUGAUGAUGGAUUGGAAUGAGACCUCCUCAGCUCCGUCGUACAACUGGAAUCAGAGUGUCUUGUUCCAAGGAGGUACCAAACCUGGCCGGGGUAGGCGGAAAAAGGCCGAAACUCAAGCAGAAGCUUGUCACCUUGGUUUCCCUCCUGUCCCUUCUCCUUCAAGCUCCUCUUCACCAAUUCCAGGUCCAAAAAGGGGCUCCAUGGGAGGUAGACACCCAAGAGGAUCCCGCGGCGGAUUCUCCUCCUGCAGACGAGAACGCACCACUCUGGCAAAACCCAAGGCUCAUAAACAGCCCAACCAACCAUCUGCAAUGCCUCUGUUUCAGGACAGCCCAGACCUAGGAAUGGACUAUUACAGCGGUGAUAGUAGUAGUAUGUCCCCACUUUCAUCACAAUCACAAAACCUAGGACUGAGUGAAAGAGAGCAGUGUGGAUACUCGAGCCCUUACUCGGUUAACCCUUCCACACCAUCCUCAGAGGAGAAGUUUACCCAGAUUUUCCAUAAUGAAACAGCCUCUUUGUCACCAGUUGUUGGAUUACAGCUUGAGUCUAAAUCCUUCCAGUCACCCCCUUCCAAGCCCCCUCAUCCUUAUGGGGGCCAUUCCAAAGCCUUCUCACCCAACUGUUCUCCGACAUUAGCGUACAAAGACAGCAACAGCCUCAUGCCCUGUGAUGCCAGGAGACUUCUCUCCUGUGCUGCCCAGAGUCCCCAUAGAGUCGGCAAAGAUAUGCCCGGAUCUCAGUAUGAUUCUCCUCCCUACAGCAGCUCUGCAUAUUGGUAUCAACAAAGCAGCUCAUUAACGGGGAGUCCUCACCACUAUGAGAAGAGAGAUGAAUUUUUGGAGAGGAACAACAUCAUGGGAACUAGUCCGCAUCUACUUAAUUCCAUCUCUCUGGGCAGGACUGAGAAGGACACCCAAGAGAUGCCUAGGGGAGGACCACUCAGACCCACAUCCUCCUAUCCCCCUCUUUCAGUUGGUCCUAAUCCGCUGGUCGCUUCAUCGUCGGCUGCAGUUGAAAUGAACUCGCCUCCUUCUGGACUAAAUGACCCUGGCCUCCAGGUUUCUUUGGAAACCUACCACCUCCGUUAUCCCAGUCUUCAGACACAUGGGCAGGCUGGCCUAAGCCUCUCCUCUCAUCAUGGUGGCGUCUUGAGCCAACUGCUCGACCAGCACGCCGAGGACACUUUCACAGUGACCAGCCUAUAGGGUCUGGGGCAGGGAGGGUAAGCAACGCUACUGGGAAGAUCAAGGGUCUGUUUAUAGGUGUAAUUUAUCAAAGACUUUUACAGAAUCAUUUUUUACCAGUUUUUGAAGCCUUCCAAAGGUUAUUAAUUUCUUGGAAGAUUUUUCUUCUUUCUUCUUUUUUCUUUUGUAAUAACAUAAAAAAAAAAAAAACUUUGUUAAAGAAUACAUGUGUUCACCAGGCGCUAGCAAAGACAAUCAAAAGAACAAGUUUUUGUUUUGGAAAAAAAUAGGGAAAUGAAGAGUUAAACAAACAAACAAAAACAAAACCAACAAAGAUGGAGAAGGAAUUGAAUGCAGUCCACCUGGCAGCCCAAGAACCACAAAUGGAGAACACUGCAGAGCUGCCUGGAGCUGACAGGAUGCCAGUCGUGACAAUUGUGCACUGCUCCAUUUCCCUGUCACAGCUGUGCAGCAGUCCUUGUUGAUGUCCCAGCUUGGCAAAAACUCUCAUGUGAGCGGCAGCUGGAGAAGCAGCAGGCCAGACAUAGCCCAACACCUGCAGUGGAGCCUCCUUGCCAUCUCCCCUCUUUGUCUGUCUGAUGUACCAGCGAACGCUAGAGUUUGAGACGCAUACAGACUAGUGGACUACGAUUCAUGUGAUACCAGCAUCUGUAAAUAGACUUUAUGAGAAAAACAAACAAAAAAAAUGAAAACGAAAUGGAUAUUAUAAAUAUGCACUGAAAUGUUUAUUUACGUGAGAAAACUAAGGAAAGGGUUAACUACGUAUUUAUUGUACAAACAAUUUUACUUUGAACUGUGUAUUGCAUAUUGCAUUAUACAUCCGGUGUACUUUGGUGAUGUGGUAAAUGGCAUGUUUUAAUUUCCAUUUUUUUUUCUUUUUCUUUUUUUUGUUUUGUUCUUCUUUUUUUCCUGUUUUUAAAACAAAGGCUGUGCACACCACAAAGGAACUGGUUUAUACCUUACAUACAUAUAUGUGUAUCUGGGUAUCUGCCUUGACAUAUACAGCACAUACUUGUAUAUGUAUGUAUACAAUCUUUUAUUCACUGAAUGAAAUGAAAAUGCUUACAAAACUGCCCUUUUGCCCCCCUGUCUGUCGUACAAAGCUGUUUUUGCCCUCUGUGUACAGAUUCAAAGGCUCAGGGUGUGGACUUUUGUUAAUGUUUUCUUUUUUCUUUUUGUUUUCUUUUUCUUUUUUCCAAUUUCUCAAUGUAUUGUAAGGUGGUUUGUGCAAUGGAAUAUUGUAAUGUCUGUUACAUAUCAUAACCAACUGUGCAUAUAUUGAAAUACACCUCCAGUUCAGACGAUU